rnacentral:lncRNA from 1 species
GCGUGGAGUGCGGACGGGCAGCCGGUUGGGCUGGGCCCGGAAGGGUGUGCAGUAGAGCAAGAGGAGGAAGUGGAGGGAAAGGAACCAGAUGCUUCUGAGACAGGCUACCAUCUCUGCGUGCAGUCCCCGCGGAAUUUACGCACUUUCGUCUUGUGCUCUUAGAUGUUCUCCAGGUAGACUGCAACCAACACCUUUAGAAUAAACCCACCUGUGCUUGGGCCAGCCUGAGAGGUCUUCAUUCCUUGCUGUCCAGAAAACCUUCAAAGGCUGCAGCAUAACCAGCUUCUAACAUUGUCCACUGGAGCAGAGACUUUGGGAGCCGAGGUGAAGAUGGCGCAACUACCAGAGGGAGAGCUGGAUUCUAGAGUCCCCACUUGCUUGCCUGGAAGGAGAUCUGCUCAGAACUGCCAGGAUGUCAGAACACGGCUCUGUACGAGCUCCUGAGAUCCAGGGCUGUAGUUGUGAGAAUUUGUCCUAAUGCCUCUGGUCUUUGCCUGUGCUUCAGCUUAUUUGGGGGAACAAAACCAAUCUGAUUGCUCUCAACAUCCAGUUGUCACUGAUUGGGUUCAAGGAAAUUAUUUUAUCUUCAGAAAACAUUUUGUUAUUUGAAGCAGCUAUAUAAGUGAGAUAAAUAUAUUUGAUACAUAUGUACAGAUUUAUAUAUAUAUAGCACCAAAC